UCCGCGUCUCGGACGUUCGGUUUUGAAGCGCGAGCGCUCUCCGCCGGUCCUCCGUUUAAAGCCAAACGCGACCGUUACAGCCGUUUGCAGUGAGCGGGUCUAUCAGGUCGCUAACGCGGGCAGUUUAAUCGAGUUUGUUUAGCGAGUGUUAAACCUCGAUAAGACCGUCUCUUACACUCCUCACUGAGACAGCGCCGCCUGCCGGGUGACGCGUUCAGCUUCCAGAAACGAGGAUUUUCAGCUGCGUAGUUAGCUAAGCUAACUAGCUGACUGGACCGAGUGGAGCGGCGACUGGAGUUACGACUGCAGCGGUCAGACUUUGCUUUUAAAAGAUGUUUCUCAUCGGAAAUCACCUGAAGCUGAGCAACUGGAACAUCCUCUCUUUGGGCCUAAUCCAUUAUGGUGGCAGUCAGUAUCAUUCUCAACACUCAGCUGUGCUCUUACCCAAGUGGCCUCAUCUUGAUGCUUCUUUCAUUACACUGAACAUCAUUGUCUGAACAUCAGCUAUGCGUGUGAGCUGGGUGCCACGCUGGAGUUCAUGCAUAGCGAGCUUGGCAUGCCCUCACACAACGCAACGCAUCUACCGGAGGCCGUGUAUUGGCGGAACCGCUCUGGUGCUUGAUCAAUCAGAACCAAGUGAGCGAGCUAACUAAUCUGAGCGUACUGGGCUCAUCAGGAAGGAGGGACACAGGAGCUCUAACAGGAGCAUUUCAGACAGAAGAUGCAUUUUCCUCAUAUCUCUGACAAAGAAGACCAACACUUUGAAAAAACAGAGGAAGAAGCGAUGGGCUGUGAAUCUGACAGUUCUUUCACUCAUCACGGAUUUAACUCUAAAAGGAGAGAUCGGUAACAUUAGCAGUGUGAUAUCAGUAAUGUUAGUGUUCAGGCAUUAUGGCAUGGACAUAUGCACAUCGAGUUAUCUGUGUCCUGUUUCCUGUGUCCACGUAUGUCCACAUAAAAUGUCCACAGCUUGGCUCUAUUCCAGCUCUUAGCACAUCUGAGUCUGGUAUUAAUUGUUUGACAGCUGAUCAUUAUCUGGCUCAGGUAUGUUAUGAGUGCUGCUGGGGUUCAGACCUUUGUAUUACUCUGUUGGUCAGUUUUUAGUCCAUAUGAAUUAAUCUUAAAAUUGUUUCCCAUCAUUUAUAAUUGUUCAUAGUACUAUAUUGCUAGUAACUUUAGCAUAACUUGCAAACGGAGUAACAGCAGACCUUAAAAUCAGAUUCAUUGGUUUGUGGAACUGUGUAUUAUUGCAGUAUAUUUCAAAUUUUUACACAAAGUCAGUUAACAUGUUUUUCUCCAUCUGUAGAACAUAUCAAGUGUGAUGACGCUAUUGUAUUAUAUUUUUUGAAAGCUAUGUGGGUGCUUUUUCAUGGGCUAUGCUUUGGAUUGCAGAGUAAAUUGUUUGAAUAUGGAAGUAUUUUGAAUUUUUAACAGAUUAACAAGGAAAUACAAAACUGUAAAAUAGUGAUUUUCCAUACCCCUUUAAAUUACAUUACUGUAAUUUAUGCAUACUUAUUAUUGUUCUUUGUUCUCCUUCUU